AAAAAAAAAAAAAGGAAAAAAAGAGAAAGCUGGAAAAUAAGCUGAUGGUAGCAACGGCAAAACUGGGAAAGCAAGUGUGAGAGACAAAAAGAACAAUAAGAAGAAGAAGAAAAGUGGGAAAAGAUUUGCAGAUUAGGGUGGAUAGACCGUACGAAGCACGCAAUAGUUAAGGGGUGGGGUUGCAAAAGGGGAGAACCCAAAAACAACCAAAACCCAAAACUGUGUGUGUGAUUCUUUUAGAUUCCACGGUCUAUCAACCCUUAUUCUGCUUUCUCUCUACUUUUGACCCCAAGCGUGCACGCUCGCUUCCUUCUCUCUUCUCCGUCUUUUCCCUGUUUCUGUCGCCCCUGCUGCUAUGGUUUUUCUAAUUUCUAGCUCCGUUCUCACUUAAGAGAGGGAGAUAGAGAGAAUACACCCGACUGCGCUUCCAUUCCUCAACACAGGGAUUUUU
rnacentral:misc_RNA from 1 species